CAGGUUGUUGGUGAGGUAAUGGCUCACCAAGCCUAUAACCGGUGCGGGCCGUGAGAGCGGUAGCCCGGAGAUGGGCACUGAGACAAGGGCCCAGGCCCUACGGGGCGCAACAGGCGCGAAAACUUCGCAAUAAGCGAAAGCUUGACGGGGCUAUCCCGAGUGCCAUCCGCUGAGGAUGGCUUUUCUCUAGUAUAGAUAGCUGGGGGAAUAAGGAGAGGGCAAGUCUGGUGUCAGCCGCCGCGGUAAUACAGCUCUCCGAGUGGUGUGGACGAUUAUUGGGCCUAAAGCAUCCGUAGCCGGCUGAGCAAGUCCCCUGUAAAACCCAACGAUUCAAUCGUUGGCUCGCGGGGGAUACUGCUCGGCUAGGGGGCGAGAGAGGCCGUCGGUAUUCCCGGGGUAGGGGUGAAAUCCUAUAAUCCCGGGAGGACCACCAGUGGCGAAGGCUGCCGGCUAGAACGCGCUCGACGGUGAGGGAUGAAAGCUGGGGGAGCGAACCGGAUUAGAUACCCGGGUAGUCCCAGCUGUAAACGAUGCAGGCUAGGUGUUAGGGCGGCCACGUGCCGCUCUAGUGCCGCAGGGAAGCUGUUAAGCCUGCCGCCUGGGGAGUACGGCCGCAAGGCUGAAACUUAAAGGAAUUGGCGGGGGAGCACCACAAGGGGUGAAGCUUGCGGUUUAAUUGGGCAACGCCGGAAAUCUCACCGGGAGCGACAGCAGAAUGAAAGCCAGAUUAAAGGUCUUGCCAGACGAGCUGAGAGGAGGUGCAUGGCCGUCGUCAGUUCGUGCCGUGAGGUGUCCUGUUAAGUCAGGCAACGAUCGAGACCCGUAUCCCCCGUUGCUACCAGCCAUGCGCUGGGCACACUGGGGAGACCGCCGUCGAUAAGACGGAGGAAGGAGCGGGCCACGGCAGGUCAGUAUGCCCCGAAUCUCCCGGGCCACACGCGAGCUGCAAUGGCAGGUACAAUGGGCUCCGACCUCGAAAGGGGAAGGCAAUCCCGAAAACCUGCCGUAGUUGGGAUCGAGGGUUGUAACCCACCCUCGUGAACAUGGAAUCCCUAGUAAUCGCGCGUCAUCAUCGUGCGGUGAAUACGCCCCUGCUCCUUGCACACACCGCCCGUCGUUCCACCCGAGCGAUUUUUGGGUGAGGCGUGGUCUUCCUUGGCUGCGUCGAAUCCAAGUUUCGUGAGGGGGGAAAAGUCGUAACAAGGUG
rnacentral:rRNA from 1 species